ACUCCUACGGGAGGCAGCAGUGGGGAAUAUUGCACAAUGGGCGCAAGCCUGAUGCAGCCAUGCCGCGUGUAUGAAGAAGGCCUUCGGGUUGUAAAGUACUUUCAGCGGGGAGGAAGGUGUUGAGGUUAAUAACCUCAGCAAUUGACGUUACCCGCAGAAGAAGCACCGGCUAACUCCGUGCCAGCAGCCGCGGUAAUACGGAGGGUGCAAGCGUUAAUCGGAAUUACUGGGCGUAAAGCGCACGCAGGCGGUCUGUCAAGUCGGAUGUGAAAUCCCCGGGCUCAACCUGGGAACUGCAUUCGAAACUGGCAGGCUAGAGUCUUGUAGAGGGGGGUAGAAUUCCAGGUGUAGCGGUGAAAUGCGUAGAGAUCUGGAGGAAUACCGGUGGCGAAGGCGGCCCCCUGGACAAAGACUGACGCUCAGGUGCGAAAGCGUGGGGAGCAAACAGGAUUAGAAACCCUUGUAGUCC
rnacentral:rRNA from 1 species